rnacentral:rRNA from 1 species
CCAGCACCUGCGGUAAUUCCGACCAGGUGCCCUUGCUUGACCUCGCCCAAGCCGAGAGAGACCUCCCUAGGAGCAGCGGCACCAUCUACCAAGCUCCCUAUCUCCACCUGGAGGAAUUGAUGGUGCGCCAACAAUCCCGGCCGGACACUGACUGGGCUAACGAUGACAAGUUCCAAGAGACCCUCAACGUUGGCCUCUCCCCGCUCCUCUACAUCUCCGAUGACGACCCUGCCAAAAUCCGGAAGCUCCGUAGCGAUCUUCGCAAAAUCCAAGAAGCGGGCGUAGUGCGCACGGUGCAGGUCCUCUACCCAGCACCACCGAUGGUUUCAGCGAUCU